rnacentral:rRNA from 1 species
AGAGUUUGAUCCUGGCUCAGGACGAACGCUGGCGGCGUGCCUAACACAUGCAAGCCGAGCGGGGAACUUCGGUUUCCAGCGGCGGACGGGUGAGUAACACGUGGGUAACCUGCCUUGUAGAGGGGGAUAGCCUUCCGAAAGGAAGAUUAAUACCGCAUAACAUUAUUUCUUCGCAUGAAGAGAUAAUCAAAGGAGUAAUCCGCUACAAGAUGGACCCGCGGCGCAUUAGCUAGUUGGUGAGGUAACGGCUCACCAAGGCGACGAUGCGUAGCCGGCCUGAGAGGGUGAACGGCCACAUUGGAACUGAGACACGGUCCAGACUCCUACGGGAGGCAGCAGUGGGGAAUAUUGCACAAUGGGCGAAAGCCUGAUGCAGCAACGCCGCGUGAGUGAUGAAGGCCUUCGGGUUGUAAAGCUCUGUCUUCUGGGACGAUAAUGACGGUACCAGAGGAGGAAGCCACGGCUAACUACGUGCCAGCAGCCGCGGUAAUACGUAGGUGGCAAGCGUUGUCCGGAUUUACUGGGCGUAAAGGAUGCGUAGGCGGAUGCUUAAGUCAGAUGUGAAAAUCCCGAGCUUAACUUGGGAACUGCGUUUGAAACUGGGUAUCUAGAGUGCGGGAGAGGAGAGUGGAAUUCCUAGUGUAGCGGUGAAAUGCGUAGAGAUUAGGAAGAACACCAGUGGCGAAGGCGACUCUCUGGACCGUAACUGACGCUGAGGCAUGAAAGCGUGGAGAGCAAACAGGAUUAGAUACCCUGGUAGUCCACGCCGUAAACUAUGAAUACUAGGUGUGGGAGUUGUCAUGACUUCCGUGCCGCAGUUAACACAAUAAGUAUUCCGCCUGGGGAGUACGGUCGCAAGAUUAAAACUCAAAGGAAUUGAC